rnacentral:rRNA from 1 species
UACGUAGGGGGCAAGCGUUGUCCGGAUUUAUUGGGCGUAAAGAGCGUGUAGGCGGCCAUACAGGUCCGUUGUGAAAACUGGAGGCUUAACCUCCAGACGUCGAUGGAAACCGUAUGGCUAGAGUCCGGAAGAGGAGAGUGGAAUUCCUGGUGUAGCGGUGAAAUGCGCAGAUAUCAGGAGGAACACCGGUGGCGAAGGCGGGUCUCUGGACAGUUCCUGACGCUGAGGCACGAAGGUCAGGGGAGCAAACGGG